UACGUAGGGUGCGAGCGUUGUCCGGAAUUAUUGGGCGUAAAGGGCUCGUAGGCGGUCUGUCACGUCGAAAGUGAAAACUCAGGGCUCAACCCUGAGCCUGCUUCCGAUACGGGCAGACUAGAGGUAUGCAGGGGAGAAUGGAAUUCCUGGUGUAGCGGUGAAAUGCGCAGAUAUCAGGAGGAACACCAGUGGCGAAGGCGGUUCUCUGGGCAUUACCUGACGCUGAGGAGCGAAAAGUGUGGGGAGCGAACAGG
rnacentral:rRNA from 1 species